GACCUCGUAGCUCAGUUGGCAGAGCAUUGGGCUAGUAUUCCAAAGGUCGUAGGUUCGAUUCCCACGGUGGCCG
rnacentral:tRNA from 1 species